CCUGGUUCCGGCAUGGCGAGGUGGGGCUGCGUUGCGCAUAGGAAUGUGCCAGCGCUGUCCCUAAGGCCCGCCGUGCAGGAGUCCGGCGUUCUCGGUUCCAGAUGCUGCCAGUCUCGGGGAAGUCGGGAGCAGGGCUCCUCGGAGAUGGUGUAAACUUACUCAACUUCAAAUACAGUGCAGUAUCCUGCCUUUCGUUCCAGAGGGCCAUUUUCCUCAUGAAAAGUCUUAAACUUCCACCCAAGUUUUCAUUGCAAGAAAAACAGCAGCAGCAUUUAAGGACUUGUCUCAGGCUCCCAUAGAGGGUCAUCCUCAGAGGAAGGCAGAGAACUCUAUUAUACUUACAGUGAAAUGCAAAACGACUGCAGAAAAUCCCACUGAGUUCGCUCCAAAUGCUCGUCUUCUUCUUCGGCCCUGGACGUCAGACAAACAGGAAACAAAAUUAUUUUUUCUUCGUGGAGGGCAGAGCAGCACUCCCCACUUGCCGGUAUUUGGAUCCCCAGCGGUAAAGGAAUGGGUAGCACGGGGCUAGCAGGAAGCUGCCCCGCCCUUCCCUAGGCCUCUGGUUUGAACUUUCCGCAAACUUCUCGGCCCCUGGGCAGGCGGCCGCACCUGGACCCCAACCCCAAGAUCCACUCACUGCUUCUCCUGCGCGUCCAGAUCCCUGACAAGCGCGUCACGCUUGUUCACCAGGGCCACCAGCUCAUCCAACAGGAGCUGCUCACGUCGCUUCUGGGCCUCGGUCUUCUGCCAGUCUGUAGGGAACAGGAGGCUAGUUACCACGGCAAGGCCUCCGCACCCCCGGCUCCCUCCCUCCCCCUUCCCGCUUUUUUCCACUUUCCUUAUAUCUCUAAGCAAACUAUGUUAAUGGAUCCACUAGCUAGUGUUUUCUAUGGAGUCUGGCUGUUGUGGUGAGGGUGCCACCCCUAAAACUCUACUUUCUAAAUAUUUCCCGCACAUAGAGAUGGGUGCGGCAGGGUUGGAACCUGCUAGAGACCAGGUGUAAGCCGGUGGCCAGCGGGAGGUGCGCACCUGUAUCCAGGCAAAGUGGGGGAGGGGAGCUGAAGGCCAGAGAGGUUGGCCCAGGGUGGUGGUGGGAGCUAGUAAACGAGGAGGCGGGAAACAGAGAUGGGCGAUAAAAUCAUUCUGAAAGGCUAGAGAAUCUGCUUGAGAACCUACCCUCCUUCUCCACCCCCACUCUCACCUCAAACAGCCCAUUCUUCGCUAAUUUCCUCCUCGCUCUAUUUUAGCAGUUGGAUGUAUCUCACACUGGGCGCCAUAUGCUUCACAAUAACUUUAAAAGUAGUGAAUCGGCUAAUUAGCAUUUUUCUUUGAAGUAAAAAAUAAAUUUGCUCUGCAAUAUUACACUGCAGCUCUCGAUCGCAUCACAGCCAGUUUUCUUUUGGAGACGUUUGCUUGGUAGUUUCAAAUCAAAGCACUUUUGCAAAGGAAAAAAAUAACAUAUUUCUUUUUGAAACCUCAUGUUAAAGGUUGGAAAAUCCGAUGGGCAGUGAUCUUUCCAAGGGUGGAGACCGUUUGCAUGAAGGUUUUAGGCCCCAAUAAUAUAUUCCCUAAUCUUUGCUAGUCUGAUAAUUAAUUUCCUUAAGAUGAGCAGCAGUUUCAUUUAAUAAAAACAGGACCGAAUCGAACAUUUAAAACACUUUUGAAACCAAAGCCAACUGCUCUGUGGCCAGACUGUGAGGGCUUGUAACUGUCAAUCAAUUCCCAGUCUACCCCGCCUCCCUCAUUAGGAAGGUAAACAAUGAAAAGAAGAAGUAGAUGAUGAGGCAGAUAGCAGAACAAAUGAGGACCUAGAGGGAAACAGGACACCAGCUUAAAAAAAAAAAAAAAAAAAAAAAA